rnacentral:rRNA from 1 species
CUACGGGGUGCUCCAGUUAGGGAUAUUCGGCAAUGGGGGAAACCCUGACCGAGCAAUGCCGCGUGAAUGAAGAAGUAUUUCGAUAUGUAAAGUUCUGUUGUUAAGGAAGAAAGGUACGAAUAGGAAAUGAUUCGUAAUUGACGGUACUUAACCAGAAAGCCCCUGCUAACUACGUGCCAGCAGCAGCGGUAAUACGUAGGGGGCGAGCGUUAUCCGGAAUUAUUGGGCGUAAAGGGUGCGUAGGCGGCCUGUCAAGUCCGAGUUGAAAGCCCACGGCUUAACCGUGGAGGGUGCUCGGAAACUGAUAGGCUUGAAUCCAGAAGAGGCAAGUGGAAUUCUAUGUGGAGCGGUGGAAUGCGUAGAUAUAUGGAGGAACACCAGUGGCGAAGGCGGCUUGCUGGGCUGGUAUUGACGCUGAUGCACGAAAGCGUGGGGAGCAAACAGGAUUAGAUACCCUAGUAGUC